AGAAACCAUACUCUAAGAAACUACAUUACUGAUGAUGCUUAUCACUGGAAAGAGAAUUUGUAGUUUGCUUGGUCCGUCCACGAACUGGGUGCGUCCGGUUCAGUCCUAGUUCAACAAUGUGCCUUCUGUAGCUGUCAAACUCAAGGUUUAGACCUAUUCAUAGUGCCGGUUAUGCACUGGAACAUGUGGCCUUGGAAUAUCUAGUAGUUAUUGUAUUCAUAUGCUUCUUUAUGAAAGAGUUUUUUGGUGC
rnacentral:lncRNA from 1 species